CAUUACAGAUGCAGGCGGAUAUAAUGGAUGUCGUCUGACUUUCGUCUUAGUACCGUUGUCUGUCUGUGUUCUAUAUGUACUAUUUUUUUACAUUCAAUGCGGUUGAUUUAAGUUGAAGUUGGCUUAAAUUUUCACUGAAAUUGUGAUUUUAAUAGUUUUUGUGCCCUUGGAAACUUCUGAAACGUCAGAAAUUGAAAGUAUGAGUGGCCAUAAUUCAAACUCAGUAACCACAGUUAGUAGCAGUACCACCGCUUGUAAAAGCGUUAUUACUGCCCCAUGAGUUCUUUCAGUUUCUUGGUGAUGUACCCGGUAAAGAAGCAGGGUACUACAAGUGUCUUUUCCCAGGAUGUCAGCCGAAAAAGGAUAAAAAGAAUAAAUAAAAACCACUCACUGUUUACAAUGAGACUAGAAUUAAUGGCAAAUGCCAUUUUUGUUGUAGGACCACGACCCUACUGGUGAGCUGAAUCAUGAGAAGAAAUGGAAAGAUGCUUUAAAAGUUAUGAAAGAACAGUUGAGGCCUUGCAAACAACAGUAGCCCACAAGCGCUUCCCAAACAGUUUAUAAUCACACAACAUGAUUUAAACGACUGGGUAUUGAACUGCUUAAUUGUUGAUGUAAUGCCUUUCGAAAAACCCGGAUUUAAAAGGCUCGUCACAAACCUUGCUCCAAAUCUCAAACUAUUUGGACGUACUUUUUUCGCACGGCUAGUACAUUACAAAUUUGAUCACAGAAGACAGCAACUGAUCGAGGAGUUAGAAAACAGCACUGAUGCAAGUACUACGAUCGACGCAUGGACAUGCCGAAGAAAGAGUUAUCUUGGCGAAACCAUACAUUGGUUUACUGAAGGAAGUUUUCAACGCAAAAAUGCCUGCCUGGCCAUUCGUAGAGUGAAGGGUAGUCAUACUUUUGACGUCUUAGCGCUGAAACUUAUCGAAGAUAUUAAUGUUGAAUUUGCUGGAACUGAUAAGCUGCGGGACUCUACAACCGACAACGGAUCCAAUUUUUGUAAAUGUUUUCGCGAAAGAGGUGCUGGGUCUAGCUUAUCAGACGGCCUAGAGGAGUUUUCUGAGGAAGAGCACGACGAUGAAAUGGUAUUUAUUGAUCUGGGAGAAAUACUUAGUUCACAAACAAUACCCAUAAGCAGUCGCCAAGUUACGCUUCUUGUCCACCGAAGAUGCGCAUACCAUCUAUUAAAUUCGAUAUGCAAACCGACCGUCGACAAUCGUCGAUUUAAAAUAUCUCUGACUGUGUAGUUAAAUUGCUGCGCUAAAAAGAAAAAGCUUUGUGAAAACUAAUGGAAGAGUUGAAAAUGCCAUGCCAUGAAAGGAAAUGAAGAGCUAUAUAUAAAGGAAUACGCUAAAAGUAUGAAAACUGUUGUAGAAGCCCUUGAUAUUUUACAAUGAAAAAAAAUGUCGGCCUCGGUUAUCUUUUACCGACUAUAACAGUUUUCAAAUCAAAUCUCCUACUUUUAAAAGACGAC